rnacentral:lncRNA from 1 species
CCUGGCUUUCCUGUUUAUUCUUCUCUUAAACACAAGCAUAAAAGCAGAAGUUGGAAGAGCUUGCAUGUUUUCAUCAUGGAAAGUUAAUAAUCAGAGAUUUCAGUUCCAGCAUGCUGAGGAAGCACAGUUUUCCUUCUCAUCAAGCCACCAACUCUAUGACAAUGGCUCUCAUUUGGGGAUGAAGCAAAGCAGUUACUGAAAAUCAAAAGAAUGUUGAGAAGAGAAAAGUUGUCAUGGAAAGAGCUCUGACCCCUAAUUCAGCUGAGGCUACCAGAGAAGCAGAGUCCCUGCCUCUUUUUUUAUCAGGCCCUUAGCAACUCACUUAUGGUGAAUACUAGUGAUGUAGUUUGCUUGUACAUAAAUUUCCUACCAAAAUGUAUGAAUUUUAUACCAUUUGGCAUUCUUUGUUUCAAUGAAUAAAUCUCAAACUUUACUCUUUUA